rnacentral:rRNA from 1 species
GGUUUCCGUAGGUGAACCUGCGGAAGGAUCAUUGUCGAAUCCUGCAUAGCAGACCACCGCGAACACGUUAGAAAAACAAGGGUUGUUGUGCGGGCUUCGCCUGUCAACACUCUCACCAAACUUAACUUUCGGCGCGGAAUGCGCCAAGGACUACUAAAAAAUGGAUUGCCUGCAUCCUUGCGGAUUCCGCAAAGCAUGCUAGGCGUCUGAUCGCUUAACAAAAAGACUCUCGGCAACGGAUAUCUAGGCUCUCGCAUCGAUGAAGAACGUAGCGAAAUGCGAUACUUGGUGUGAAUUGCAGAAUCCCGUGAACCAUCGAGUUUUUGAACGCAAGUUGCGCCCAAAGCCAUUAGGCUGAGGGCACGUCUGCCUGGGCGUCACGCAUCUAGUCGCCACCUCCUCUCAAAAUUUUGGAGAGGAGUGACGGAUGUUGGCCUCCCGUGCCCUCGAGGUGUGGCUGGCCUAAAUUUGAGUCUUCGGCGCGAGACGUCACGACAAGUGGUGGUUGAACUCAUCAACUCGUGUGCUGUUGCGACUACGCCUGACACAGACUCAUUGACCCUAGAGCCCUUGACCCAAAACUGAGUUACGGGCCUUCGACCGCGACCCCAGGUCAGGCGGGAUUACCCGC